AUAACAAUUAUAGAUGCAAUGUCAAUAGAUUAGUCUGAAUAAGCCACGGUCAUGGUUUACUAGCCACAACUAUACUGUGAUUUAGUUUGUAACUCUACUGUGAUUUAGUUUACGUAACUAAACAGACCUUAGAUGCUACAUUGUGGUUGGUUUGGCCAUGUUUAGGGCCAUGGCAGUGUUAACUCGGGAUGGUUAAGACUGGGAAUCCAGGGGCUUCCCCUGGUGCAGGGCCAUGUGCCAGUCUCUGGGUGGAUCUCGUCUCAGGUCCCACACAGGGGUGAACUUUCUCUGCUCCACCAUCCGGUUCCUCUCACUCUGCUGUAAUGACUCCCGGGGUAGGGGGAGGACAGGCAGAGUUGGUUAGGGGACAGUGCAAGAGAGAUCUUUCACAAUAUCCUGUUCAUAAGCAAACUGUAGCCAAUAUUUCUGGAUGUCGAUGGCAUUUUCCCUGUAAAUGCAGGAUUGCUGGUUCCUGUGCUGCUUAGGCCAUUUCAAAGUGAUGAUUGAGUGCUCAACUGUACCUUGGUCUCUGGACUUGGGUUCUUCUCCCACUCUCGACAUGUGUAGUAGUCUUCCUUCCACUGCCAGCAGGAGGGGAUGUGCCAUGCCUAUAGUAGUUAUGGAAACGGUUCCACAGGCUUUUGCAGGGUCUGAAUUCAGCCAGUAGUCAUCACAGGUCCGGGGUGGCUAGGGAGAUUAUAAUUACAGUUUCUGCAUGAACCAUCAGGCCAAGUGUUUUUGGUUGACCCUGCUGGACAGAAAGAGAAGGAGGAAUCAGAACACGCUGCAUUCAAAUUCAGGUGUUAGUUAUUCCAUUGUACUGGAUCUAAUACAUAUUAGCAUUUUACAUACAUUCAUAAGUGUAAUACUUUUUUAUGACAUACUGUGAAAAACUCUCUUGGCUGCUGGCUCUGUCACUUUCAGACAUGUGCAGAGCAGACUUGAACCACAGGGGUUCUCUGUAAAGAGAGUAAUCCAGAAGGCACAGACACACCCCUUGACUUUCAAUUGGCACUGUUGACCUGUAUGUAUCCUCUCUUCAUUGUGGUGCACAGUCUGGCAGUCUGACUAAAGUGCCAGAGGUAUGAGGAGAGACAUUCUCCUUUGUAUUUAUGGGAACAAAUAUUUCCUAACACUUUGGAUCCUAUUCUUGGACAGUUAGAAGACACAAUGCAUCAAUGCAAAAAAAAGUGUAUUACUAAUUACUGUCCAUGAGUAACCUCAACCUUGUGGUUCUAUGGGUGUUUGGGCCAAUAAAGUGCCAACUCAAUUCUACCACUGACUAG
ensembl:lncRNA